GGUAGCAUGGCCGAGGGGUCUAAGGCGCUGGAUUUAGGCUCCAGUCUCUUUUUUGGGGCGUGGGUUCGAAUCCCACUGCUGCCA